GCCAGGCAUGAUGGUGCAUGCCUGCAAUCCCAGGUACUUGGGAGGCUGAGGUGGGAGAAUUGCUUGAGCCCGGGAGUUUGAGGCUGCAGUGAGCCGAGAUCGAGACACUGCACUCCAGCCUGGGCAAUAGAGUGAGACCCUGCCUCCA
rnacentral:SRP_RNA from 2 species